rnacentral:rRNA from 1 species
UACGUAGGGUGCAAGCGUUGUCCGGAAUUAUUGGGCGUAAAGAGCUCGUAGGCGGUUUGUCGCGUCUGCUGUGAAAACCCGAGGCUCAACCUCGGGCCUGCAGUGGGUACGGGCAGACUAGAGUGCGGUAGGGGAGAUUGGAAUUCCUGGUGUAGCGGUGGAAUGCGCAGAUAUCAGGAGGAACACCGAUGGCGAAGGCAGGUCUCUGGGCCGAUACUGACGCUGAGGAGCGAAAGCGUGGGGAGCGAACAGG